rnacentral:rRNA from 1 species
GGAUGAGCCCGCGGCCUAUCAGCUAGUUGGUAGGGUAACGGCCUACCAAGGCGAAGACGGGUAGCUGGUCUGAGAGGAUGAUCAGCCACACUGGGACUGAGACACGGCCCAGACUCCUACGGGAGGCAGCAGUGGGGAAUAUUGGGCAAUGGGCGCAAGCCUGACCCAGCCACGCCGCGUGAGUGAUGAAGGCUUUCGGGUCGUAAAGCUCUGUGGGGAGGGACGAAGAAACAUUGGCUAAUAUCCAAUGGACUGACGGUACCUCCUUAGCAAGCACCGGCUAACUACGUGCCAGCAGCCGCGGCCGA